rnacentral:rRNA from 1 species
CGAACGCUGGCGGCGUGCCUAAUACAUGCAAGUCGAACGCUUCUUUCCUCCCGAGUGCUUGCACUCAAUUGGAAAGAGGAGUGGCGGACGGGUGAGUAACACGUGGGUAACCUACCCAUCAGAGGGGGAUAACACUUGGAAACAGGUGCUAAUACCGCAUAACAGUUUAUGCCGCAUGGCAUAAGAGUGAAAGGCGCUUUCGGGUGUCGUUGAUGGAUGGACCCGCGGUGCAUUAGCUAGUUGGUGAGGUAACGGCUCACCAAGGCCACGAUGCAUAGCCGACCUGAGAGGGUGAUCGGCCACACUGGGACUGAGACACGGCCCAGACUCCUACGGGAGGCAGCAGUAGGGAAUCUUCGGCAAUGGACGAAAGUCUGACCGAGCAACGCCGCGUGAGUGAAGAAGGUUUUCGGAUCGCAAAACUCUGUUGUUAGAGAAGAACAAGGACGUUAGUAACUGAACGUCCCCUGACGGUAUCUAACCAGAAAGCCACGGCUAACUACGUG